rnacentral:rRNA from 1 species
GAUGAACGCUGGCGGCGUGCCUAAUACAUGCAAGUCGAGCGAACAGACGAGGAGCUUGCUCCUCUGACGUUAGCGGCGGACGGGUGAGUAACACGUGGAUAACCUACCUAUAAGACUGGGAUAACUUCGGGAAACCGGAGCUAAUACCGGAUAAUAUAUUGAACCGCAUGGUUCAAUAGUGAAAGACGGUUUUGCUGUUACUUAUAGAUGGAUCCGCGCCGCAUUAGCUAGUUGGUAAGGUAACGGCUUACCAAGGCGACGAUGCGUAGCCGACCUGAGAGGGUGAUCAGCCACACUGGAACUGAGACACGGUCCAGACUCCUACGGGAGGCAGCAGUAGGGAAUCUUCCGCAAUGGGCGAAAGCCUGACGGAGCAACACCGCGUGGGUGAUGAAGGUCUUCGGAUCGUAAAGCUCUGUUAUUAGGGAAGAACAAAUGUGUAAGUAACUAUGCACGUCUUGACGGUACCUAAUCAGAAAGCCACGGCUAACUUCGUG